rnacentral:rRNA from 1 species
CUACGGGAGGCAGCAGUGGGGAAUAUUGGACAAUGGGCGCAAGCCUGAUCCAGCAAUGCCGCGUGGGUGAAGACGGCCUGCGGGUUGUAAAGCCCUUUAGGCGGGGAAGAACGGCCGGGCGCGAACAGCGCGCGGCUCUGACGUUACCCGCAGAAUAAGCACCGGCUAACUCCGUGCCAGCAGCCGCGGUAAUACGGGGGGAGCAAGCGUUGUCCGGAAUCACUGGGUGUAAAGGGUCCGCAGGUGGCAUGUCAAGUCGAUUGUGAAAGCUCCCGGCUCAACUGGGAGAGGACGGUCGAAACUGGCAAAUUAGAGUCCGACAGAGGUCGGCGGAAUUCCCGGUGUAGUGGUGGAAUGCGUAGAUAUCGGGAGGAACGCCAAAAGCGAAAGCAGCCGGCUGGGUCGAGACUGACACUGAGGGACGAAAGCGUGGGUAGCGAACAGGAUUAGAUACCCGUGUAGUCC